rnacentral:misc_RNA from 1 species
GUGAAUCAUCAAAUUUUUGAACGCAAAUUGCACUCUCUUCGGAGAGUAUGCCUGUUUGAGGGUCAGCCUAAAAAAAAUCGACAUAGUUGCUGUUUCGCGUUGACUUUCGUCGGAAAUUGGGUCAUCUUAAACCUUUGGGUUUAAGCGACUUAAAAUUUUUUUUACAAUUCCACGACCGUUUCUAAGUUUUUACUCUUUACACGUUUAAGGUAUCGA